GCGGACUAGAGGUUGGGUGUCGCGGCACCCCUUAAUCUACUCAUAUCUCGGCCUCUGGGCCCAGGUAUGUGCUGUGUGCUAAGUCGCUUCAGUAGUGUCCGACUCUGCGACCCCAUGGCUCCUCUGUCCAUGGAAUUUCCCAGGCGAAUUCACCACUGGCCCACCUGGGAAUCCGGUGCAAGCGGCUGAAUGGUUCCAGUCCUGAGGAUUUCCCAGGAGUGGACACUACUUGUGGUUGCCAUCCCAGAUAACAGGGACAUUGCUCCAGAUGUGCCCACGCGGCCUGAGCCCUGUGUCUACACCGCUGUGGGAGAAUUGGAAAUGGGAAGAGUAGUGCCCACUAUUUCAGUGGCCAAAUGUGUACGGGUUGAGAACGUCAACCAGCUAGUUCCAGAAACCUGGCUGAACCAUUCACUAACUGGAUUUGCCUGUUUCAUUGUCUGUUAUAUGGGUAUAAUGGGGGUACCCCCCCACAAAGGGCUGUUGAAGUUUAAUAAUUAAAUGAAUUCACAGAUUGGUACAGUGUU